AUAAGGUUGAAACCCUAGUUAUACAUAGUUUAAUUUUUAAGUCAGCCUUUAAUGGCAGAGAUAUUUGAGAGAGGAGACUACUCAAAGGACUGAAGUAGAGAAAGAUUGACAACACAAUUGAGGUGAGAUCUAAGGAUUUUAGAGAAAGUGUGAGGGAGAAGUUCUCUGUAGUGAGCUAGCUGAGAUAUGCAGGCACUAGAUAGAGUGCAGCCUGGACCCAGUAAUCAAACCUAGUUGACCCAGUAGUCGGAUCAUCGGUCAACUCCGCUUUGGAGGUGCGCCGCCGAUGAGGAGGUGCCUGGCAUCAUAAAGGUUCGAUGUCGUAAAUGUGUAUUGUCGUAGUGUGGGCUAGACCUAUGUAUCAUGCAAUACAUAGAUGCAGCAGGUUUGACCGGGUUAUUCAAGGUUCCUGAUAUGGAGGUUGACCAUGCCUUGGUCACAGCCUUGGUCGAGCAGUGGCAUCUGGAGAUGCACAUAUGGAGAAAUGGGUAUUACCUUGCAAGAUAUAGAGGUGAUGCUGGGGAUUUCGGGGGUUGGGUUUCCUGUCACUGAGAGGACAGACCUGUAAUGGAACAUGGUGUGCCAAGACUUGUUGGGCCAUGAACCUCCGCCUGUGAUACCAAACUCGAACAAGUCUACCCUUGCUAGGACGAGGAUAAAAUACAAGUGGCUUGAUGUACAGUUUGCCUCUCCCCCAAUUGCGGACAUUGGUGAUGAAGUCGUGCAACAACAUGCCCGCUACCAGCUACUUGUACGAAUCGGGGCCCUGUUGUUCAUGGACAAGUUGGCGAACCGAGUUUCACUAUUAACUAUGCAGUUCUUCAACCCAAUCAGCAAUGCAAGACGGUACAGUUGGGGUAGUGUAGCAUUGGCCUGGCUCUACAAGCAACUUUGUAGUGCAUCGAAGAAGGAUGCGAUGCAGAUUGGAGGUGCACUCUUGUUGGUGCAACUAUGGGCCUAUUCAAGGUUUCCACGAAUAUGCCCUAUUACAAGGCCGCCUCUACUGCCAGUGCACUCAGGGCCCCUUAACAUUAGGUGGAGCGGGCCAAAGAUCACCGUAGAGCAUGCCACACACAUCCUUGCUGCGUAUUGAACGUCGCUGGCUACAUUACGGGUAGAGUAGAUUAUAUGGGAACCGUACACGCAUACAUUGGGCUCCCUACCUGCGUAUUGCACUGCUAGGCAGCAUAUUUGGAGGGCCGAGUGCCAUUGAUCUACUUUUGGAUAGUGGAGGGGCAUCAUCCCAAGCGGGUCUUUUGUCAACUUGGGAUAAAGCAACCAGUUUCACUCGUCGUGGAUAUGUCAACUAACCUUCACAAAAUAUCCCUUCAAGGUAAAUGGGAGAAGGACUAGGAGUUAAAACAUGCUGUCCAUAUUCAGCAAUGGGCCAACUGAGGGCAUGAAGUUUGUGCUGCCCCUCUCCUGGACGGUGAUGAUACGUACCUUGUUUAGUACAUGAAGUGGUACAAUUGCAGCACAAGGUGAUACAUAACACCAGAGUUUGCAUACUGAGAACUCAUGGUUUGGACAAUGCUUAGGUCUCUACAGAGGUACGACAAAGGUUCUGACAUGCACAAUGACCUUAAGUUGACACUAGAAUAUGUUGAUGAGCUGGGCCGACUUAAAUUGGUAGAUGCGCUCAUAGAAGCAGCUGACAUUAGUACACAGGCCCCGAGUCAUAGCAGGCGAAGUGGUGGGUCUCGAGGGAGUGGACGUCGUGGAGGUGGUCAUGCUCGUCGCAACCGUACGACCGAGCAAAUCCCAUCUACGAGGAGAGGGAUGACUUGGGUGUAGAGGAGUCAUGGCUUGGCACUGAUUGGGAACUGUCUGACAACGGCGGCAGGGCACCGUGAUGCACAUCUGAUGCUGGUACUAGGCCAUCCCACACCGCCGGUCAUGAGGACACUGUUCUAGCCCAAACUACGUCCCGUGGUGCUAGCAUGGACUAUGAGGACCUUCCCCGUAUGUCGCCCCCAGUUUUCAAUGGAUCUACCUAGGAUGGUGGAUGCAUAUUUGUCCCCACACCAGGCAUGCCCACCCCACCUCUAGUGCAUGUGUAGCCCACCAUGGCAACUUCAUCUCCAAACCCCCACGAAGAGGUUGUACAGAUUGAGCAGAUAUCAGCUGAGGACAUUGAGCCGGUGGAAGGUUUGUGGAGAUCACGACGCCCUCAUACGCAUGCUCUCGAUUGCGAGACCGGUGAUGGUAAUUGGGAUCAAUGGGCAAUUUCCAGGACCAAUUUUCAAUGUUACUACAAAUUGGAAUGUUGUUGUCAAUGUCAAAAAUGGCCUUGACGAGCCAUUUCUUCUCACAUGGAAUGGCAUAGAACAUAGGAAGAACUGUUUGCAAGAUGGUGUUUUAGGUACAAAUUGUCCCAUUCCUGUUGGUUGGAAUUGGACAUAUCAAUUUCAGGCCAAAGAUCAAAUAGAGAGUUUCUUUUACUUCCCGUCCCUUAGCUUCUAGAGAGCUGCGGGUGGAUAUGGAGGAAUCAUCAUAAACAACAGAGAAGUGAUUCUAGUACCUUUCAGGAUGCCAGAUGGAGAUAUUACAAUCAUCAUUAGUGACUGGUACUCUAAGAGUCAUAAGGAACUAAGGCAGGAUGUUGAAAAAGGAAUCAACCUUGGAGUUGCUGAUGGUAUCCUUAUUGAUGGAUUGGAUACCUAUCGCUUUAAUGGGGCAGUUGUUCCAAAUGGUACUACUUACCUGAAAAUAAAUGUUGAACUAGUUGAAUUUCUACAAUGUAUAUGCUAUACUUAGUUUGCUGCCCCUUCUCUUUAAACUCCAUUAACUUGCUCAAAUGAACU